rnacentral:rRNA from 1 species
ACGGGUGAGUAACACGUGGGUAACCUGCCCAUAAGAGGGGGAUAACAUCCGGAAACGGGUGCUAAUACCGCAUAGUUUUCUUGAUCGCAUGAUUGAGAAAGGAAAGACGGCCUUUGUGCUGUCGCUUAUGGAUGGACCCGCGGCGUAUUAGUUAGUUGGUGAGGUAACGGCUCACCAAGACGAUGAUACGUAGCCGACCUGAGAGGGUGAUCGGCCACAUUGGGACUGAGACACGGCCCAAACUCCUACGGGAGGCAGCAGUAGGGAAUCUUCCGCAAUGGACGAAAGUCUGACGGAGCAACGCCGCGUGAGUGAAGAAGGUUUUCGGAUCGUAAAACUCUGUUGUCAGAGAAGAACAAGUCGGAGAGUAACUGCUCCGGCCUUGACGGUAUCUGACCAGAAAGCCACGGCUAACUACGUGCCAGCAGCCGCGGUAAUACGUAGGUGGCAAGCGUUGUCCGGAUUUAUUGGGCGUAAAGCGAGCGCAGGCGGUUCCUUAAGUCUGAUGUGAAAGCCCACGGCUCAACCGUGGAAGGUCAUUGGAAACUGGGGAACUUGAGUGC